rnacentral:lncRNA from 1 species
AUUUUAAUUAUUCUAGUAAGAAUGUAAUGGAGAGGCCUUCCCAGUACCCACUGUGCCCCCUGUGCCUGUGCAGAGAGAGGCACCACACACUGGGAGUCCUUAUUCAUCAAAGUGAGGCUCCACAGCCCAACAUCAGGGUACAUAUAGGCUUGAGGAUGCUGCUGUUAAGAAACUGAGAUAUUGUGACUUCUAACAAGGGACAACAAUGAGGACCUGGUAAGAUGUCACCAAGGUCCCUGUGGCCUGGCUGCACCAGAGGUAUCUCUACUAGGGGUGCUAACAGUUAUCCUGUUGCGGAGGUAACAGGAAAUCUUACAUGGGGUUGCCUCUCUCUUGUUUCUCCUACUAACAGCAACUUCUUAUGAUUACCCUCUCACUAGUCAUAUAAUCGAAUACCUCCAUAUUCUCACAUCUUACCUCAUAAACAUCUCAGCCAACCCCCCAGGCCCUCUUCUACCAUCAGAAACUGUAAACUAUUAUGCAAACCUAUUGACUAUAUGGUAGAUGAUAACCAAACUCAUAAUUUCUGAUUAUAGUGACUGUAAAUGUAAAAAUAGAAGCUAACCCAUCUGUGGCUGCUUGGAAGACAGUAACUCAGACAAUGAAGACAAAAUAUACAAUCUUGAAGAUAAAGUUGACCUCACAGUGAAGAUGGUGAGAAACCAUGAACAGAACAUCCAAGAACUAUGGGAUACCAUCAAAAGACCAAAUUUAAGAUUUGUUGGAAAAAAUUAAAAAAAAAAAAGAUUUAUUGGGGUAGAGGAAGAUUCAGAGAUUCAAGCCAAAUGAAUGCACAAUCUUUUCAAUGAAAUAAUAUCAGAAAACUUCCCAAGCAUGAAAUAUGAAUUGGAAAAUCAAAUACAAGAGAACUAUAGGACACCAAAUGUACAAAAUUAAAAUAAAUCUACACCAAGACACAUUAUAAUGAAAAUGCCUAGAAUAAGGAUAAAAUUUUA